CCUCUUACAGUGGAAAGUGCCCACUUGGCUCUUAAGUUUUACCACCUCCAGAGGCGACGUUACGGUUUUGCUGAAAAACCCGGCGAAACCGACGCACGCGAAGCUUUGAGAACCGGCUUCACAUCUAAAUAUAGAGCGCGAGGAGGCAUCCGUCUCCCGUCCUGACCGGCGGUGCUAUGCGGGUAGACUCACGUCACACGGACCGGUGCUGGAGGAGCGCCUCCCUCCCCUGCCGGGCUGACAACCUCAGAUGCAUGCGAGGAUCCCACCUUCUGUCUGCGGCAGGACCACUUGGCUCCUUCACAAAGGCUUUCUGGAAUAACACAGCCAACCGGAGGAAAUGACAGCCUGAUCACAAGAGGUUCCCCUCACUCCCCCUCUAGCUGCCUACUGGGGGUGGAAAAGGGUGUGUCUGUGUGUGCGUGAAUGGGAAAAUUGCUUUCGCCUCUGGAAACUCAAAUUCUAAUUUUGAUGCAGUGGCGGUAAUUGCAGUGAUGGUGAAACAAGUGCAGAGCUAAUGACUACUCUGCGAGAUGUGUAGACACUGAAGUUAUAUUUCAUUCAACUAUUUAGGCAAUCAAGCCAGUAGUUUAAAGUUCAGGUGUGUUUACUUCUAGCAAAUGAAUAGGGUUUUGAGAGCCAGGAUGAUAAGGCUGGUAUUUUGACAACAGAAGAAUGUCACAGUAGGAAUACAUGUUUUCUCCCCAGAACAAGAAAAUUCUUUGAUCUCACCGUCAUAUGUGUGUAGUUUGUAAUACAUGAGAUAAUGGGAUGGGUUUCUUUUAAGAUAAGUGGAGUCAUGCUGCAUCUUAUCAAUUAAUGCUUCAGCAAUCAAGCAGGACACCGCCAAGAAUCUGUUGCCCCUCUGUCUCCUUGUUGUCCUUCCCCUGCCCCUCACAUUGCUGCUAUAGAAUACAGAUAGAGCACUGCCUUCUUCCUGUAUGUAUAUCCCCCUCCUGAAUGAGCUCUUCCUCCGUGAAGCAAAGUAGUGCGGGAGCAGCCUGCAUGCCUUUGUGGCAUGUAGCAGUAGGUGUAGGCUGGCCGAGGCAUUGUCAUUCUCUGGAUGGCAUGCGCAAGUCAACCCUUGAUCUCCCACUUUGAAGUGCAUUGCUGAGGGAACCGAGAGAGCAGUCUGUGUAUUAUCUGGCGAGAGCUCACAGUGGUCAACAGAGGGCGCCCGAUACCUGAGAGGCUGCGCGGAGGCCUGAGUUGCUGCCUCGCAGACUGGUGCCAGGCCAACAGCCUGCUGCAAUAAAAUUCUCACCUCAUUAUCUGAGACAGUCACAUCACAGGCUUGUGUUGGCAGGGG